GUCCGAACGGCAGCRCGGGGCAACCUGGYGGCGAGUGGCGAACGGGUGAGUAAUAUAUCGGAACGUACCCWRGAGUGGGGGAUAACGUAGCGAAAGUUACGCUAAUACCGCAUACGAUCUAAGGAUGAAAGUGGGGGAUUCGCAAGAACCUCAUGCUCCUGGAGCGGCCGAUAUCUGAUUAGCUAGUUGGUAGGGUAAARGCCUACCAAGGCUWCGAUCAGUAGCUGGUCUGAGAGGACGACCAGCCACACUGGAACUGAGACACGGUCCAGACUCCUACGGGAGGCAGCAGUGGGGAAUUUUGGACAAUGGGCGCAAGCCUGAUCCAGCAAUGCCGCGUGAGUGAAGAAGGCCUUCGGGUUGUAAAGCUCUUUUGUCAGGGAAGAAACGGUKCCAGCUAAUAUCUSKKGCUAAUGACGGUACCUGAAGAAUAAGCACCGGCUAACUACGUGCCAGCAGCCGCGGUAAUACGUAGGGA
rnacentral:rRNA from 1 species